rnacentral:lncRNA from 1 species
GAAGGGGGUAUUUAUAGCUGAAGUAAAAAACUGUCUCGUCCGAACAUUUUAGACCAGAUUGCCCCUGACCCUCCCUCUCUACACAACAUGUGUCACUCACGUACAUACAGGUGGUGAUCGUGGGGGGUCGUGGGUUAUCUAGUCAUGGAAAGUGGGAGCAGUUUGAGCGGCAACGACCGAAAUUUUUGAUACGAUAUUGUCAGGGCCGAUUUUUCUGGGAUUUUAAUUCCCAUCAAAAUGACCCUUGUGCAUACCAGCCCUAGGAAUAUUGUUAGCUGGUACACAAAUCCUUGAUACAAAUGUCCAAGCAAAUUACAAAUUUGAAGUACAAGACCAAGAUGGCAUGUGGAGUACAUCAAAAAGGUUUCUACUCAUUGAUGGCGGAAGCAGUUAGGGGAUCUCCAGCGUCUAUGGGACUCCAUUUCCCACAGGAAUAGAUCACCUGGAUAAUUCCUAUCUCACAUGGCUGCUGUCUUUGGCGCCUAGGUUCCGGGCUGUCGUCGGGACGCUCCUCUCCAAACACGCAAUCUGGCCAAGACAAUAGCGAGGGACAUGCCAGUAAGUACUUUAAAUGUACUCGUAAACAUCAUGAAAUCAAACAUAAAAUAGCAGGUGGUUAAUAUGCACUUGAAAUAAUUCAAUGAUAUUUCGUCAGUCAUAAUCCAACUUCUUAAGUGCAAACAAACAGAUAAUUUAACCAUAUUGAUAAUUUAAUAAGCAAUCAAAGAAAUAAAGAUUAAUCAGAACAUCGAGUGGUAAUCCUCCCAAAUAUUUCCAAGAACAGUGAAAUAGCCCGAUCGGGUGUCUGGAGCGAUGCCUUGAAAGGAUAAGAUAUAAGGCAUGCCUCUGUCGGGCAUCUCAGCGACACCUCAUAAAGGGAUUAUAACAAAUAAUAACAUGCAUGCCAUAGUCGGGCGUCUGAGCGACACCACAUAAAGGGCUUAUAAGAAAUAAUAACAUGUGUGUCAUAGUCGGGCGUCUGAGCGACACCACAUAAAAGGCUUAUAUGAAAUAAUAACAAGCAUGCCACAGUCGGACGUCUGAGCGACACCACACAAAGGGCUUAUAUGAAAUAAUAACAAGCAUGCCACAGUCAGGCAUCUAAUCGACACCACAUAAAGGGCUUAUAUAUAACAAUGAAUAUUGAGGAAGUAAAACCGUCCCACUUAUGUUCAACAUUCAUGUAUCAUAAGGGUUAGUCCAUGAUAAAAUAAUAAUUAUGAUCAUCCAUCAUAUUUCACGAUUUCUCUCAUGGUUAAGUUAACUUUCUCCAAAGACCGACACUCAGACCGACAUUUGACGUGUCAACCAGUCGUCCUUGACCGUGGACGCGGCUACUCGAAUAGUUUUGACUCUGCAUAGCGUGUACUCUUUACCCACGGCCCACGGGUUUCAAUAGUCACUCAGACUAAUCUUGUGUACGGUAUUUUUAAAGUAAACACUUAGAACCAGCACACACCCAUUUUCCCUCACGAAGACCAGCCUCACCCAAACUACGUUGCAAGGGAAAAACCAUAAGACGCGGAGGACAACACCCUCGAAUAGCAUGGGAUCACAUUUAUACCAUGCGCUACAAGGGAAGAGCUCUUCCCUCUCGGUCCCAUACCGGAAACACACAUGCCCCCUUAUAGGAUGACUUGCUUUAUUCCAGUGUCCGGAGAGCUUCAUUCCGGCCCCUCUAUUUGGUGUGUACCUAAUAAUAUGUUUACGACCUACUAAACCAUAUUCCCUUUCAGGAAGACUUGUAGCAGCACGAAAGGGCAAGGUGAGACACUCACAAGACUUGAUUGUAAGUUAUUCCCUGCAUGAUUAGCACAACAAAAAUGUUUCACAAUUCCGGACAGAAUCACUACCUUUCAUACCCCAAUAUGCCUCAGUGACCAUGCUCGUCCUACGAGAUGUCAGUCCCCAAGGUCAUGUCUUUUCGAGACACCCACUCUUCUCGGAUCCCAUCCGGUAGGCAUGUGUGGCAGAAGGGAGUGACUACUAGCACAUGCAUCUCAAUAUGCAACAGAAUUAAUUUUUCACCAUGUACUCAUGUGCAUGAUCAUAUCACCACAUGAAAUACCAUCACUUAUAUUAACAAAACCAUAAUGUUUCCUUCAACAUAUCACACACAACAAUAAUAAAUCCAAGUUCAGAAUGUUUUCCUUUAAGGUGUAGAGGGAUGAGGUGCACAUCAAAACUUUCUGGAAGUUUUUAUCUCUCUCUCCAUAUCCUAUUUUUGAAAAUAUUCUAAUUAACACAUAAUUUAAAAACAAUACAAAAAGUUGUCUUAGAAAAUUUUGAAAUAAAUCCUAAAAUAAACUAGGUGAAAUUUGAGAAAGGUAGGAAAAUGAACCGAAUCAUUUGGAGUCUUAUUUUACAAAUUAGAGCCAGCCAAAGAUUGGUCAAAGUUCUGUUUUUGAAUAAAUCAUCAAAGAAAACGAUUUGGCUCGGAUUACGCUUUCACAAAAAGGACCAUGUACUUGCGCGAAUAUGCCUUCACUUAAGGCGGCUCUCGCUCGGCUCUGUUACUAACGUGUGGGGACCGCUGGACAGGUUUGACCCUCGUCAAACUGGUCAUCUCCCUCCUCCAACCGAGAGGAGGAGAGUCCUCUGGCGAUGCUCGCGGGCGAUUGGGGCCAUUACUCCCGAUUCUGGGAGCACCAAUGUGCUCGGGGUCCCAAGGCGAUCCGCGGAGAUGGGGAUUUGGUCGUAGGAGAGCCGGGAGGCUCUGGCGUCUACGAGGCCGGUGGACGGCGGCGCUGGUCCGCAUGGUACCUUUGCCCACAACUCUUCUCGAGUGGAAUUGAGAGGGGGAAUGGGCUCGCGAUGUCAGGGCGGUUCAACAAAAGGGGAGAACGGAGCAGGGUCAACCCUGUUGGCCUCGAAUUUAACGAGGGAGGCGGCGACCGAACUUUGACCCGAGGUGAGGAAGAUGGCAUGCCCGAGUCGAUUGGUUGCUAGGGGAGCUCGAGAGGGGUCGAAGAGGGCCUACUGUGGUUCAGGGAGAGCUCGAGGGUCCUUUAUAUAUGCAGGCGAGGUCGGUUCCCGGCUGCUACGGAUAACUCCAACGAACUGUUGCAGGGGGGUGAUGUGGCGGUCGGCUAGCGAGGACCACAAGCUAGCAGACGAGCAAGGGAGUCAUAC